rnacentral:lncRNA from 1 species
AUGGGGUUCACGAAAGUAGCAACAUGAGCUUUGUUAUCAUGGCUAAAACAUCAUGAAAAGCUGCUUUUUUCCAUCAAUUUAAAGGUUAUUUGGAUCAUCUUUACUGUUUGUUCAUAAUUUGGUUAACCGGGGAUAUACGCAAGAUCAACAGCAACUUUGGGUUUUGAUAAGGAAAUAUUUCCAAUCUGAUGAGGAGAUCGAAAGCUUUUAGCAAUGGGUUUUGAUAAGGUUGAAGUCGCCAUAGCUACUACUAAUGGCGAUCUCAAUGUAGCUGUUGAAUUGGUUGGUAUGGUAACAGUUUGGAGCUGGUCCUAGGUUGAAGCCAAACGGUCCGGGUUGGGCCGAUCCAUCCACACCUUUUGUCUUUCUUUAUAGGGCUUUACUGAUUAUGUUUCUCAUUACAAGAAUCAUUUUUUUAUAAAUGGGUUGACUUAUACGUGUUGGUUGUUUAUGAGCACAUUAAUAUGACACGCGAAUGUAGCUCAAGGAGGUCCAUGUUUGUGGGUAUCUGCAUCUAUAUCCCAUGACCUCUCUAAUAUUACCUUUUUCAUUAUUUAGUUUCUGUUUACACGGGAGUAACACUUGAACCUUAUAACCACCAAUAUAUAAAUACAUAUAUUU